GACGAACGCUGGCGGCGUGCUUAACACAUGCAAGUCGAACGGUAAGGCUCCAGCUUGCUGGGGUACACGAGUGGCGAACGGGUGAGUAACACGUGGGUGACCUGCCCUGCACUUCGGGAUAAGCCUGGGAAACUGGGUCUAAUACCGGAUAGGACCGCACCGUGAGGGUGUGGUGGAAAGUUUUUUCGGUGUGGGAUGGGCCCGCGGCCUAUCAGCUUGUUGGUGGGGUAAUGGCCUACCAAGGCGGCGACGGGUAGCCGGCCUGAGAGGGUGGACGGCCACAUUGGGACUGAGACACGGCCCAGACUCCUACGGGAGGCAGCAGUGGGGAAUAUUGCACAAUGGGCGGAAGCCUGAUGCAGCGACGCCGCGUGGGGGAUGACGGCCUUCGGGUUGUAAACUCCUUUCACCAUCGACGAAGGAUUCUGACGGUAGAUGGAGAAGAAGCACCGGCUAACUACGUGCCAGCAGCCGCGGUAAUACGUAGGGUGCGAGCGUUGUCCGGAAUUACUGGGCGUAAAGAGCUCGUAGGUGGUUUGUCGCGUCGUCUGUGAAAUUCCGGGGCUUAACUCCGGGCGUGCAGGCGAUACGGGCAUAACUUGAGUACUGUAGGGGAGACUGGAAUUCCUGGUGUAGCGGUGAAAUGCGCAGAUAUCAGGAGGAACACCGGUGGCGAAGGCGGGUCUCUGGGCAGUAACUGACGCUGAGGAGCGAAAGCAUGGGGAGCGAACAGG
rnacentral:rRNA from 1 species